CCUACGGGAGGCAGCAGUAGGGAAUAUUGCUCAAUGGGGGAAACCCUGAAGCAGCAACGCCGCGUGGAGGAUGAAGGUUUUCGGAUUGUAAACUCCUUUUGUUAGAGAAGAUAAUGACGGUAUCUAACGAAUAAGCACCGGCUAACUCCGUGCCAGCAGCCGCGGUAAUACGGAGGGUGCAAGCGUUACUCGGAAUCACUGGGCGUAAAGAGCGCGUAGGCGGGAUAGCAAGUCAGAUGUGAAAUCCUAUGGCUUAACCAUAGAACUGCAUUUGAAACUGUUAUUCUAGAGUAUGGGAGAGGGUGGUGGAAUUUUUGGGGGAGGGGGAAAAGCCGGAGAGGAUAAGAGGAAUA
rnacentral:rRNA from 1 species